rnacentral:misc_RNA from 1 species
AAAAAAACUACUGGGAAGACAGGUUUCAAAGAAAGGUUCAUGCUCUGAAAAAUGUCAUUGGGAGUGACAUUUUCAAAGUCAAGUAUGCAAUUUCUACACACCAUGGAAAUGAUGAAAUAUGACAACCAUUGGUUUGCACGCCUUGAAAAUAAUGAAAUAGGACACAAUCAUUGGAGAGUUUAUUGAAGAGAGAAUGAUUUAUGAAAAUGUCAUUGAGAGUGGCAUUUUUAUAAGUAUAUAAAAAUAUGAAAAUACCAUUAUCAAUGGCGUUUUUAGUGGUUCUUUUCAUCUACAAAAGGCUAG